rnacentral:misc_RNA from 1 species
GAUGAAGAACGUAGCGAAAUGCGAUACUUGGUGUGAAUUGCAGAAUCCCGUGAACCAUCGAGUCUUUGAACGCAAGUUGCGCCUCAAGCCAUUAGGUUGAGGGCACGUCUGCCUGGGCGUCACAUAUCAUUGCCUGAUGCCAGUUUCCUCGUGAUGGGUGACUGUGCAGGGCGAAUGAUGGCUUCCCGUGAGCAUUGUUGCCUCAUGGUUGGUUGAAAAUUGAGUCCUUGGUAGGGAGCGCCGUGAUAGAUGGUGGUUGAGUGACGAACGAGACCCAAUCAUGUGAGACCCCUACCGAAUUUGGCCUUCAUGACCCACAUGCGUCUUUGGAACGCUCAUGACGAGACCUCAGGUCAGGCGGGGCUACCCGCUGAGUUUAAGCAUAUCAAUAAGCGGAGGA